UACAGAGGUCUCAAGCGUUUGUUCGGAUUCAUUGGGCGUAAAGGGUGCGUAGGCGGCGCGGUAAGUCGGGUGUGAAAUCUCGGAGCUUAACUCCGAAACUGCAUUCGAUACUGCCGUGCUUGAGGACUGGAGAGGAGACUGGAAUUUACGGUGUAGCGGUGAAAUGCGUAGAUAUUCGCAAGAACACCAGUGGCGAAGGCGGCUCACUGGCCCGGUACUGACGCUGAGGUGCGAAAGCGUGGGGAGCAAACAGGAUUAGAU
rnacentral:rRNA from 1 species